rnacentral:rRNA from 1 species
GACGAACGCUGGCGGCGUGCUUAACACAUGCAAGUCGAACGGAAAGGCCCUGCUUUUGUGGGGUGCUCGAGUGGCGAACGGGGGAGUAACACGCGAGUAACCUGCCCUUGACUUUGGGAUAACUUCAGGAAACUGGGGCUAAUACCGGAGAGGAGCUCCUGCUGCAUGGUGGGGGUUGGAAAGUUUCGGCGGUUGGGGAUGGAUUCGCGGCUUAUCAGCUUGUUGGGGGGGUAGUGGCUUACCAAGGCUUUGAGGGGUAGCCGGCCUGAGAGGGUGACCGGCCACAUUGGGACUGAGAUACGGCCCAGACUCCUACGGGCGGCAGCAGUGGGGAAUAUUGCACAAUGGGCGGACGCCUGAUGCAGCAACGCCGCGUGCGGGAUGACGGCCUUCGGGUUGUAAACCGCUUUCGCCUGUGACGAAGCGUGAGUGACGGUAAUGGGUAAAGAAGCACCGGCUAACUACGUG